rnacentral:rRNA from 1 species
UACGAAGGGGGCUAGCGUUGUUCGGAAUUACUGGGCGUAAAGCGUAUGCAGGCGGAUCGUUAAGUCGGGGGUGAAAUCCCGAGGCUCAACCUCGGAACUGCCUUCGAUACUGGCGAUCUUGAGUCCGGAAGAGGAGAGUGGAAUUCCUGGUGUAGCGGUGAAAUGCGCAGAUAUCAGGAAGAACACCAAUGGCGAAAGCAGCUCUCUGGGACGGUACUGACGCUGAGACGCGAAAGCGUGGGGAGCGAACAGG